CAAUAGCGUAUAUUAAAGUUGUUGCGGUUAAAAAGCUCGUAGUUGGAUUUCUGUCGAGAACGCGCGGUCCACGCUUUGCGUGAGUAUCUGUGUCGGUCUUGGCAUCCUCUAAAGGAUCGUUUCUGCGCUUGAUUGCGUGGAGCGGAACUUUAGACUUUUACUUUGAGGAAAUUAGAGUGUUCACGGCAGGCAAUCGCUUGAAUACAUUAGCAUGGAAUAAUAAGAUAGGACUUUGGUACUAUUUUGUUGGUUUGCAUACCAAAUUAAUGAUCAACAGGAACAGUUUGAGGAUAUUCGUAUGAACAUGUCAGAGGUGAAAUUCUUGGAUUUUGAUCAGACGAACUACUGCGAAAGCAUUUAUCAAGGAUGUUUUCAUUAA
rnacentral:rRNA from 1 species